rnacentral:rRNA from 1 species
UACGGAGGGGGCAAGCGUUGUCCGGACUUACUGGGCGUAAAGGGUGCGUAGGCGGUUGCAUGCGUCGGCGCUGAAAUCCGUGGGCUCAACCCACGGGCGCGUGCCGAUACGAUGCGACUUGAGGCUCGGAGAGGGUGGGAGAACUCCUGGUGUAGUGGUGAAAUGCUUAGAUAUCGUCAAGAACACCGAUAGUGAAGACAGCUUACUAGACUUCAACUGACGCUGAGGCACGAAAGUGUGGGGAUCAAACAGG